GGAAGAAUACAGUGUGUAUGCAGAGUUCGGAAGCUGUUACCAUGACAUAGCACAGAGGGCAUCUUUUCUCAUCAGCUGAACCUAGAACUCCCUGAGCCCUUCCAUGCCUACUCUGCAGGCGUCCCUCAACUCAGGGGAGAGUUCCGAUAUGUAAUGACUGCCCUUCCUCCAUCUGUGAUUUUCCGCGCUCCUGUAACUUGUUACUCUCAGAUCAGAUCUCCUGGGCCCGACCCCCAAGCCUCCUGCAUUCCGUCGGCGUCUGCCUCUUUCCCGCUCUGCUGUGUCUGCCUAGCUGUUUCUCACCCUUUUCCUUCCUCGGGUCAGGGUCUGCAUCAAGAGUGAGUCUUCAAUCGUCUGCCGGAUGUUUUCAUGAUGUGGGCCAAUUUUGAAGCUCCUGGACUUCGUUCGCGCCCUGGAAUUGGGAUCCUCUCACGUGCCCUGUGGGUUUUGAUCUCAGGAUAGAGAAGACUCCAUCCGCCCACUCGCCUCCCUCUGGGAGGU
rnacentral:lncRNA from 1 species